CGCCGCUCCGCCGGGACGCGUUGGCCGGGGCGCGCGGUGCUUGGCUGCGGUGCUCACACUCAUGAGGAGCCGGAAGUCACAGGUGGGAUGAGAGCAGAAAGGGAAGCACUGCUGUCCUGCCUCUCCUGGGAAGACACCCCGCUGCCUGGGAGCUAGGGAGGUGGCCCUGUGUUCUUGGCUGCAGCAGGACGGAGCUCAAGUGCCACAGACUCUCCGUGUCCUUACCAAAUGUAUGUAGGUGUUCUGGAGCAAGUGUUUCUUCAUUUGCUGGGUGCCCAUAGGACCAUUUCCAAAGGCUCUCUAAAUGGCUGUUUUGGGACUGCUCAUCACUCUCUGAGUAGAAGGUCAGUGAAGCUCCUCGAGCUGUCAUGUUGAAGUCAGUCUCGGCCAGCCCUUUUGGAGAAACCAUGUUUGUGCUUCUGACAUACCAGUUAUUAAACAAUCUACUGGAAUGAGGAGAAUCUCAAUGAUGAGAAAGUCUUUCCUUUUUUGGACUGUGGGAGCAGUCCAAGCUGCCCAGCUGCAAAGCAGGAAUCUGCAAGUGAGACUGUGACCAAUUCUUGACAUUUUGGAGUUGACACCUUGGAGGUGGUUAAUCCAUGAUGAAACUGAAGCUAAGCCGCUCUCAUGUUUUGACUCCUGUCAAUCCGGAGUGGACAGCAAAUGGCCUGCUCAGGUGUCUGUUAACAGCCAGCGCUUCCAGGCCCACCAGAUCAUCUGGCUUUUCUCUGCAGAAGGGGCCAAAAGGUCCACCUGAUGAACCUGUUGCACGCGAAAAGUUCAGAACCACUGCUGCCAAGAUGCUGACAGAAGCCUUGAGAAGCACCUGCUGCGGCAAAAGACGUGCAGGCGUAGAACACAGAGUGGGUGGCAGCUUCUUCAGUUCAAUCCCCACCUCAGGCAGUUGUUGGGGGUCAUAUCUAGGCUCACAGGUGCAGUGCGGUCUUCAGCGCGCUUGAAAGCACGAAGUUGUUCGGCAGCCAGGUUGGCCUCUGCCCAGGAAGUCGCUGGUUCCACGUCUGCCAAGACAGCAUGUCUGACUUCCUCAUCCCACAAAGCCACAGACAGGCGAACGUCCAAGAAGUUCAAAUGUGACAAAGGACAUCUUGUGAAGUCAGAAUUACAGAAGCUUGUCCCUAAGAAUGACAGCGCUUCUUUGCCAAAAGUGACACCUGAGACCCCUUGUGAAAAUGAGUUUGCUGCAGGCAGUGCCUUGCUUCCAGGCAGCGAGGCUGGCGUUUCUGUGCAGCAGGGGGCUGCAAGUCUUCCUCUCGGUGGCUGCAGAGUUGUGAGUGACUCUCGCUUAGCAAAGACUAAAGAUGGCCUGUCCGUGCCAAAACACAGUGCCGGGUCCGGAGCAGAAGAAUCCAACAGCAGCUCCACUGUGCAGAAGCAGAAUGAGCCAGGGCUACAGACAGAGGAUGUGCAGAAGCCACCACUUCAGAUGGACAACAGCGUCUUUCUAGAUGACGACAGCAAUCAGCCAAUGCCCGUGAGCCGGUUCUUUGGAAACGUUGAGCUCAUGCAGGACCUCCCACCUGCGUCUUCAUCUUGUCCUUCAAUGAGCAGACGAGAGUUCAGAAAAAUGCAUUUCAGAGCCAAAGAUGAUGACGACGAUGACGGCGAUGAUGCAGAAAUGUAGGGGCCAUGCAAAAUAAUGUCCUUGAGUGUUCAGUACCAUUAACAAUGUGACAGUUUAGCACAUUACAAGAUUUAUAUAAAAUGUAUCUCCAAGAGAAUGUCUUAAUCAAACUUCAAAACUGACCCAUCUAAGUCAACAGUGCCAAGCACCCAGUACCUGUGGAGGAUGUGCUCAUGGGAACGAAAACUCGAACCGUCUUUGAGGUUGCAAAGCUGCUGUGCUGCGCCAAUGCCCUUUCUUUUUUUUUUUUUUUUUUUUUUCCUUGGAGACAGAGUUUCUCUCUUGUCGCCCAGGCUGGAGUGCAAUGGUGCGAUCUCGGCUCACUGCAACCUCCACCUCCUGGGUUCAAGCGAUUCUCCUGCCUCAGCCUCCUGAGUAGCUGGGAUUACAGGCAUACGCCACCACACCCAGCUAGUUUUUGUAUUAUUAGUAGACACGGGGAUUUCUCCAUGUUGGCCAGGCUGGUCUCAAACUCCUGACCUCGUGAUACGCCCGCCUCAGCCUCCCAAAGUGCUGGGAUUACAGGCGUGAGCCACCAUGCCCGGCCAGUGUCCUUUCUUAUACACGUCCAUACAUGAUGAUGGCUUGAGUCAGCUGCAGGGCAGUGGGCUUCAUGAGAGGGAUCUUUGUAAAGACAGCUCUUCACUUCAGCUCAGUAGCUUUGGUCAUAGGCAAGUUUGUUUUCCAUUAUCCUAAUUUGAUGAUUCUUUUGAUGAAUUCAGUGCUAGUUCUUAAAGAACUCUUUUACUUCUGUAUGUGGAGCUAAUGUUUACCUUGGAAAUUUUGCAAAAUACAUGUAAGAAAGAAAUAAAAUAUAUUUUGAAAAUAUUUUGAAA
rnacentral:sRNA from 1 species